rnacentral:lncRNA from 1 species
UGAGUUACUUUAAUGGUUGUUAACCGAUUAAAACUACCAAAUAUGUACAAUAUUAUAGUUUUAAGGGAAUAUUCAAGGUCUUACGAGAAAAAAGACGAAGAAGGAAGUAAAUUUCAGACCGGAGACUUGAGCCAGUGUCUUUAACAAUCUACAAAAGAGAUUGGUAAUACUUAAAGAUUUCGAUGUCAAGUGAAAAGAAAGAAGAAGAAAAAAAUGAUCCAUCUGUGACUGAGAUGGAAAAUCUCCUGCCUGAGGGAGAAGACGUUCCAUGGAGUUGGGAAUCUGGUGGAUAUGAGUUGACCAAAAGAAAAAUUCAAGAUUUAAACAAGACGAUUCGGGCUUUGAAACGUGGUCGCACUUAUAAAAGUUACCAAGAAA